rnacentral:lncRNA from 1 species
AGCAGGGAGACGGAGAAGGAAGGGACUCGGAUCCGGCCUGCGGAGCUCCGGCUGCCGGCAGCUUGCCGGAAUGACGGCGGUCAUGGAGGAUGCGGGCACGGGGCAGUGGCCUCGAUCCAAUCUGGAUCGAGCAUGGCUUGCCUGUGCUGGUUGACUGGUUGGUUGGCACAAAAAUCUGAGGAGCGGUGGCGGCUAGGGAUGGGACAACCCUCCUAUAUUUUAGGGUUUAUAUAUAUAUAUAUAUAGUUGGGUUAGAGAUAGGUUCAUUGGACCCUCUGAUCUAGAACGGGUGGUCUAGAAGAUUAGGUUAGGGGCUGCAAUGGACAAACCGAAGACGAUUUGCGGCAAAACGGGGNNNNNNNNNNAGGUGCUAUAUAUAUAUAGUUGGGUUAGAGAUAGGUUCAUCGGACCCUCUGAUCUAGAACGGGUGGUCGAGAAGAUUAGUUUAGGGGCUGCAAUGGACAAACCGAAGACGAUUUGCGGCAAAACGGGGUUGAUCCGGAUCCAACGGUCACAACCGCCGGGUUCGGAUUCCGGGAGGUUUUCGGACUGGGCUGCGCGUAGGGUCGAUGCAC